rnacentral:rRNA from 1 species
UACGUAGGCAGCGAGCGUUGUUCGGAAUUACUGGGCGUAAAGAGUGUGUAGGCGGUGCUCCCAGUCUGUUGUGAAAUCUCCCGGCUUAACUGGGAGGGUGCAGCGGAAACUAGAGUGCUAGAGGGUGGGAGAGGUAAGCGGAAUUCCUGGUGUAGCGGUGAAAUUCGUAGAUAUCGGGAGGAACACCGGUGGCGAAGGCGGCGACCUGGGCAGAUACUGACGCUGAGGUGCGAAAGCGUGGGGAGCAAACAGG